rnacentral:rRNA from 1 species
UAUAGGUUUGGUCCCAGCCUUCCUGUUAACUUUCAAUAGACUUAUACAUGCAAGCAUCCACGCCCCGGUGAGUAACGCCCUUCGAAUCACACAGGACUAAAAGGAGCAGGUAUCAAGCACACACUCUUGUAGCUCACAACGCCUUGCUUAACCACACCCCCACCGGAGACAGCAGUAACAAAAAUUAAGCCAUAAACGAAAGUUUGACUAAGCCAUAUUGACUAGGGUUGGUAAAUCUCGUGCCAGCCACCGCGGUCAUACGAUUGACCCAAGCUUACAGGAGUACGGCGUAAAGCGUGUUAAAGCAUCAUACUAAAUAGAGUUAAAUUUUAAUUAAACUGUAAAAAGCCAUAAUUAUAACAAAAAUAAAUGACGAAAGUAACCCUACAAUAGCUGAUACACCAUAGCUAAGACCCAAACUGGGAUUAGAUACCCCACUAUGCUUAGCCCUAAACACAAAUAAUUAU